rnacentral:snRNA from 1 species
AGCUUUGCGCAGUGGCAGUAUCGUAGCCAAUGAGGUUUAUCUGAGGCGCGAUUAUUGCUAAUAGAAGAAGUGCAGAAGGGAGACAUUUCAAUCAGAAUGGAGGAUUCCAGAGGAUUUGAAGAACGCGGUGAUGGCGUCAAUUUUUAAAGUUGGUUGGGAAUUAGCUA